UACAGAGGUCUCAAGCGUUGUUCGGAUUCAUUGGGCGUAAAGGGUGCGUAGGCGGCGCGGUAAGUCAGUGGUGAAAUCUCGGAGCUUAACUCCGAAACUGCCAUUGAUACUGCUUAGCUUGAAUCAAGUAGAGGUGGAUGGAAUAAUACAUGUAGCGGUGAAAUGCUUAGAUAUGUAUUAGAACACCGAUUGCGAAGGCAGUUCACUAUGCUUGUAUUGACACUGAGGCACGAAAGCGUGGGGAUCAAACAGG
rnacentral:rRNA from 1 species